UACGUAGGGUGCAAGCGUUAAUCGGAAUUACUGGGCGUAAAGCGUGCGCAGGCGGUUGUGCAAGGCAGGGGUGAAAUCCCCGGGCUUAACCUGGGAACUGCACUUGUGACUGCACGGCUGGAGUACGGCAGAGGGGGAUGGAAUUCCGCGUGUAGCAGUGAAAUGCGUAGAUAUGCGGAGGAACACCGAUGGCGAAGGCAGUCCCCUGGGCCUGUACUGACGCUCAUGCACGAAAGCGUGGGGAGCAAACAGG
rnacentral:rRNA from 1 species